CUACCCGGUGGGCCACGGACCUCCCUUAAGAACCGGUGAAAAGAACUACCCCCCUCCCUCCCCUCCCAACUCGUCACCCACAAGGGUGACUUGUUUGCCUCGACAGGGAAAGGCCGGUUACGUUCAGCGAAACAACCUCACACACCAAGACGGCCCCCGCCGGGACGGCAAUCCCGAACGAGGGCCUGACCAAUCAGGAAGAACAGACCCUUCCCC
rnacentral:ncRNA from 1 species